GAGGGUAUAGCUCAGUGGUAGAGCACAUGACUAGCGUGCAUGAAGUCCUGGGUUCAAUCCCCAAUACCUCCA
rnacentral:tRNA from 1 species